GUGGCCGAUUGGCCGUCGGGAGCCCGGGACAUUUCCCGGUGGCCUGAGGGUCGUUUUGGCCUGCCGUGAAUAGUCAACUUGACCAGCGACAAUAUAGCAAGCAGGAAUGAGUUGACUGAGAAUCCACGCAUCAGGCGUGACUCUCACUCUCUCGCUGCAGUGUCCCCGCGCCAAAAAUUACAUCAGGUCUCUCCGCGACGCACAUAGCAACCGUCUACAUGCUUCUCUACGGAUAGCAUUUUAGACAAGUCCCACGGCGAAAUGGACGGUCAGAAAAGGAAAGGUGAGGAAGGAAGCAGCAGCACUAGAGGUGCAACUGGAGAUGGUGGUCAGUUCAGAGUCAGACUCUGAGCAGGAACUUUCAGGUGAGUUGGCAGAAGACGAGCCCAUUGCUAAUGCAGACAUGGAUUACAAAAUCAAGAUCCACAAUGUGGUACUGGACACUGUUGAAGAAAGUAUCCACUGCUGUUAUGCAGCAAAUACAGUGCUGUGUGCAGAUGUCUCCUGCAUGAAUCCUGAAGCAUUUUCCUGAGAUCAGAGAAGAGGGCCUUCCAAAGAUGGCCAUCAAGGAGCUCAGCAAAUUCUUAUUGGAAUUUGAUGAACAUGCCACUGUAUUGAAGGCUGAACUGAUCAGCCUUGCACAACAGCGGGGAAGACUGAAACAGUCAGCAUUGGAGGAGUACAACACCAGGACUGCCGCCGCCAGUGAUGAAUCAGGGGAAGGCUUUGAGGACCCUGAUGAAAGUGUGGAGUUGGUGAGCAGAAUUUGUUCCACAUGUAAAAACUGCCCGUUACACUGCUAUCUUUUCCUGUCUCUACAAUCUGCUCACGGAUGCGUAUCACAUAAUCUGGUUUGGGCUACAAGUUCCUCCUCACCCUAUCCAUCACUCAGGUGGCUAGUGAGAGGACCUUCUCCACCCUGAAAUUUGUGAAGAACUGCCUAAGAACCUCCCUCACUCAAGAAAACCUUGAAGCGUUCCUUUUGAUGGCAACAGAGAAGGAGAUUCUUAUGGGACUUGACAAAGAUGACAUCAUUGACAAGAUGGCAGAGAGCAGUGAGUUAUUAUAUUACUUACUGGUUACUCUGAAGUAGCUAUGCUAUGACUCUUCCUUAACAGGCUGACAAGGGUGAAAGAAAAUUUGCUGUGAGUUAAAGCUUUUGUACAGAGGCAUGUUUUUUUGGACUUUUGUAUAAUACUUGCAGUUAUGUAGCCAAUGUUCAAUUUCAUUGACUCGGUGUAUAGACGUUUAUUUUUGUGCUGUUUGCUUUAUGGACACCAGUGAGUGCACAUUGUAAUCUACAUUUUCUUGUAGAGAAAUGCUUUUUCGACUUUUGUAUUAUAAUGACUUACAUUGUUGUAGCUUAUGUUCAAGUUCAGUGAAUGUGUGUGUGUAAAGUUUUGAUAUGCUUGAAUAUAAAGAUAAUCACUUGAGCUAACUCUGUGUAUCUCAUCCUCUUUUUAAAAAGUGUAGGCUCAUUGUUUUGUGUGUCUAGCCUUGUACAUUUGAAUGUGCUACAAUAUGAUUGGUGUAUUCCUAGUGAGUUUUUGAGGGUGCUCCAAU